rnacentral:snRNA from 1 species
AGAUGUGAGGGUGAUUUGGUUGCAACAAUUGUCACCCCAUUGAUUGCCAGGGUUGAUUAAGUGAAUCUGGCUGGUUAAGCAGGUGUCCCCUUCCUCCUUCACUACUCCAUGUGCAUCCCUCCCGAAGCUGCAUUCCUGGUUGAAGAGGACAACCUUCCCUGAAUGAAAGAAGACUAGUCUUUAGUCAAGAGUAUACGAGUAGCUGCACUCCUCUGCUAGAACCUCCAAACAAGCUCUCAAGAAAAGGCUCCACAGACUUGCCUAUAAGCAAUCUGAUAUAGGCAUCUUCUCAACUGAGGUUCUUU